rnacentral:rRNA from 1 species
CCUACGGGUGGCAGCAGUGGGGAAUAUUGGACAAUGGGGGGAACCCUGAUCCAGCGACGCCGCGUGAGUGAAGAAGUAUUUCGGUAUGUAAAGCUCUAUCAGCAGGGAAGAAAGGAAUGACGGUACCUGACUAAGAAGUCUCGGCUAACUACGUGCCAGCAGCCGCGGUAAUACGUAGGGGGCAAGCGUUAUCCGGAUUUACUGGGUGUAAAGGUAGCGUAGGCGGUUACGCAAGUCUGGAGUGAAAGGCGGGGGCCCAACCCCCGGACUGCCUUGGAAACUGGAUAACUGGAGUGCAGGAGAGGUAAGUGGAAGUCCUGGUGUAGCGGUGAAAUGCGUAGAUAUUAGGAGGAACACCAGUGGCGAAGGCGGCUUACUGGACUGUAACUGACGUUGAGGCUCGAAAGCGUGGGGAGCAAACAGGAUUAGAUACCCCGGUAGUC